rnacentral:rRNA from 1 species
AUUGAACGCUGGCGGCAGGCCUAACACAUGCAAGUCGAGCGGCAGCACAGAGAUUGCUUGUGGUUUCAGCGGCCGACGGGCGGGCGAUGCCUAAGAAUCUGCCUGUCUGUGUUUGCUAACGUGCUGACGCGGGCGCUAAUACGCCAUUAGUCCUGAGGGCGUACGGGGGGGAUCAUCGGACCUUCCGAUCUUGCGCGAGUCUAGGUCGGAUUAGCUAGUUGGCGGGGUAAAGGCCUACCAAGGCGACGAUCCGUAACUGGUCUGAGAGGAUGAUCAGCCACACUGGAACUGAGACACGGUCCAGACUCCUACGGGAGGCAGCAGUGGGGAAUAUUGGACAAUGGGCGCAAGCCUGAUCCAGCCAUGCCGCGUGUGUGAAGAAGGUCUUCGGAUUGUAAAGCACUUUUGGUGGGGAAGAAGAGCAGUAGGUUAAUACCUCGCUGUUUUGACGGUACCCAAAGAAUAAGCACCGGCUAACUUCGUG